rnacentral:rRNA from 1 species
GGCUCAGGAUGAACGCUGGCGGCAUGCCUAAUACAUGCAAGUCGAACGAGAGGAAGGAAAGCUUGUUUUCUGAAUCUAGUGGCGAACGGGUGAGUAACACGUAGGUAACCUGCCCAUGUGCCCGGGAUAACUUCUGGAAACGGAUGCUAAAACCGGAUAGGUAGCAGACAAGCAUUUGACUGCUAUUAAAGUGGCUAAGGCCAUGAACAUGGAUGGACCUGCGGUGCAUUAGCUAGUUGGUGAGGUAACGGCCCACCAAGGCGACGAUGCAUAGCCGGGCCUGAGAGGGCGGACGGCCACAUUGGGACUGAGACACGGCCCAAACUCCUACGGGAGGCAGCAGUAGGGAAUUUUCGUCAAUGGGGGGAACCCUGAACGAGCAAUGCCGCGUGAGUGAGGAAGGUCUUCGGAUCGUAAAGCUCUGUUGUAAGAGAAAAACGACAUUCAUAGGGAAUGAUGAGUGAGUGAUGGUAUCUUACCAGAAAGUCACGGCUAACUACGUG